GAUGAACGCUGGCGGCGUGCCUAAUACAUGCAAGUCGAGCGAACGGACGAGAAGCUUGCUUCUCUGAUGUUAGCGGCGGACGGGUGAGUAACACGUGGAUAACCUACCUAUAAGACUGGGAUAACUUCGGGAAACCGGAGCUAAUACCGGAUGAUAUUUUGAACCGCAUGGUUCAAAAGUGAAAGACGGUCUCGCUGUCACUUAUAGAUGUAUCCGCGCUGCAUUAGCUAGUUGGUAAGGUAACGGCUUACCAAGGCAACGAUGCAUAGCCGACCUGAGAGGGUGAUCGGCCACACUGGAACUGAGACACGGUCCAGACUCCUACGGGAGGCAGCAGUAGGGAAUCUUCCGCAAUGGGCGAAAGCCUGACGGAGCAACGCCGCGUGAGUGAUGAAGGUCUUCGGAUCGUAAAACUCUGUUAUUAGGGAAGAACAUAUGUGUAAGUAACUGUGCACAUCUUGACGGUACCUAAUCAGAAAGCCACGGCUAACUACGUG
rnacentral:rRNA from 1 species